GGAUGCGAUCAUAGCAGCACUAAAGCACCGGAUCCCAUCAGAACUCCGAAGUUAAGCGUGCUUGGGUGAUAGUAGUACUAGGAUGGGUGACCUCGUGUUGCAUUCC
rnacentral:rRNA from 1 species